rnacentral:rRNA from 1 species
CCGAGCGGUAUUUGUCUUUCGGGACAGAGAGAGCGGCGUACGGGUGCGGAACACGUGUGCAACCUACCUUUAUCAGGGGGAUAGCCUUUCGAAAGGAAGAUUAAUACCCCAUAAUAUAUUGAUUGGCAUCAGUUAAUAUUGAAAACUCCGGUGGAUAGAGAUGGGCACGCGCAAGAUUAGAUAGUUGGUAGGGUAACGGCCUACCAAGUCAGUGAUCUUUAGGGGGCCUGAGAGGGUGAUCCCCCACACUGGUACUGAGACACGGACCAGACUCCUACGGGAGGCAGCAGUGAGGAAUAUUGGACAAUGGGUGAGAGCCUGAUCCAGCCAUCCCGCGUGAAGGACGACGGCCCUAUGGGUUGUAAACUUCUUUUGUAUAGGGAUAAACCUUUCCACGUGUGGAAAGCUGAAGGUACUAUACGAAUAAGCACCGGCUAACUCCGUGCCAGCAGCCGCGGUAAUACGGAGGGUGCAAGCGUUAUCCGGAUUUAUUGGGUUUAAAGGGUCCGUAGGCGGAUCUGUAAGUCAGUGGUGAAAUCUCAUAGCUUAACUAUGAAACUGCCAUUGAUACUGCAGGUCUUGAGUAAAGUAGAAGUGGCUGGAAUAAGUAGUGUAGCGGUGAAAUGCAUAGAUAUUACUUAGAACACCAAUUGCGAAGGCAGGUCACUAUGUUUUAACUGACGCUGAUGGACGAAAGCGU